rnacentral:rRNA from 1 species
UACGGAGGGUGCAAGCGUUAUCCGGAAUCACUGGGUUUAAAGGGUGCGUAGGUGGGCAGGUAAGUCAGUGGUGAAAUCUCCGGGCUUAACCCGGAAACUGCCAUUGAUACUAUUUGUCUUGAAUACUGUGGAGGUCAGCGGAAUAUGUCAUGUAGCGGUGAAAUGCUUAGAUAUGACAUAGAACACCAAUUGCGAAGGCAGCUGGCUACACAAAUAUUGACACUGAGGCACGAAAGCGUGGGGAGCAAACAGG